rnacentral:rRNA from 1 species
GGAGUUAGACGGUGCUUCUUCUGUGAGUGAUGUCCUUCCUGCCGGCUAUUAACCCGCAGGCCUUCUUCCUCACUGAAAGUGCUUUACAACCCGAAGGCCUUCUUCACACACGCGGCAUGGCUGGAUCAGGGUUGCCCCCAUUGUCCAAUAUUCCCCACUGCUGCCUCCCGUAGGAGUCUGGGCCGUGUCUCAGUCCCAGUGUGGCUGAUCAUCCUCUCAGACCAGCUACGGAUCGUCGCCUUGGUGAGCCGUUACCUCACCAACCAGCUAAUCCGACAUAGGCUCAUCCGAUAGCGCGAGGCCCGAAGGUCCCCCGCUUUCCCCCGUAGGGCCGUAUGCGGUAUUAGCCUGGGUUUCCCCAGGUUAUCCCCCACUACCGGGCAGAUUCCUAUGCAUUACUCACCCGUCCGCCGCUCGCCACCAGGGAGCAAGCUCCCCGUGCUGCCGCUCGACUUGCAUGUGUAGCUCGCCGCCACGCGUCAUCUGAGCGAGAUACAACUACUGA